rnacentral:snRNA from 1 species
UAGCUUCGGCAGCACAUAUACUAGAAUUGGAACGGGGUAGAGGAGAUUAGUCUGGCCCCUGUGCAAGGAUGACACGCACAAAUUAUUUUAUUUUAUUUUAUUU